rnacentral:siRNA from 1 species
UGGAUUUAUGGUAUAGCGUUAC